GAAAGAUGAAAAGAACUUUGAAAAGAGAGUUAAACAGUACGUGAAGUUGUUGAAAGGGAAACGAUUGAAGUCAGUCAUACCAACGGGAAAUCAACCUUUUGAGCUCGGUCUCGUGGGUUUUGAAGAGUUUCAAAGCCUUCGGAUUCGCGGGAUUGGGAUCUCUCGGUGUACUUUUUCGUACGGUUAGUCAACAUCGGUUUUGAAUGUCAUAAAAUGACUGGAGGAAUGUAGCUUCGAUCUCGUAUUGAAGUGUUAUA
rnacentral:rRNA from 1 species